CAUUCAAAGGCAAUUGUGGAGUUUUGGGACUCAACAUAGCAAGAAUAAACUGUUUAUUGUCAUGAUCCAAGACAAGUUUCACCGAUGAACCUUAAUUAAGAAUGGAAAACAUGUAAACUAAGUUGCAAGGCGGAGGAAUCUACAAAAGGCGCACACAAUAACAACCGAGCAAGUCAGACAAAUGGUUCGCAUUUACACUUUGGACUCUGGAAAUAAAUUUAUUGCUGCUGUGUGACAAAUGUGAAUGAAAGCAUUGUUCCUUGAACUUGAAAAUUAUUUUAUCCUGAUGUAUAUUACAUAAAAUUUUAUUUUUAAUAAAUUCAAUUUUAGAACGAAA